AACACGUGAGUAACCUGCCCCGAACUCUGGGAUAAGCGCUGGAAACGGCGUCUAAUACUGGAUAUGUCCUAUCACCGCAUGGUGUGUAGGUGGAAAGAAUUUUGGUUCGGGAUGGACUCGCGGCCUAUCAGCUAGAUGGUGAGGUAAUGGCUCACCAUGGCGACGACGGGUAGCCGGCCUGAGAGGGUGACCGGCCACACUGGGACUGAGACACGGCCCAGACUCCUACGGGAGGCAGCAGUGGGGAAUAUUGCACAAUGGGCGCAAGCCUGAUGCAGCAACGCCGCGUGAGGGAUGACGGCCUUCGGGUUGUAAACCUCUUUUAGUAGGGAAGAAGCGAAAGUGACGGUACCUGCAGAAAAAGCACCGGCUAACUACGUGCCAGCAGCCGCGGUAAUACGUAGGGUGCAAGCGUUGUCCGGAAUUAUUGGGCGUAAAGAGCUCGUAGGCGGCUUGUCGCGUCUGCUGUGAAAACCAGAGGCUCAACCUCUGGCCUGCAGUGGGUACGGGCAAGCUAGAGUGCGGUAGGGGAGAUUGGAAUUCCUGGUGUAGCGGUGGAAUGCGCAGAUAUCAGGAGGAACACCGAUGGCGAAGGCAGAUCUCUGGGCCGUAACUGACGCUGAGGAGCGAAAGCAUGGGGAGCGAACAGGAUUAGAUACCCUGGUAGUCCAUGCCGUAAACGUUGGGAACUAGAUGUAGGGCCUGUUCCACGGGUUCUGUG
rnacentral:rRNA from 1 species